rnacentral:rRNA from 1 species
GACGAACGCUGGCGGCGUGCUUAACACAUGCAAGUCGAACGGAAAGGCCCUGCUUUUGUGGGGUGCUCGAGUGGCGAACGGGUGAGUAACACGUGAGUAACCUGCCCUUGACUUUGGGAUAACUUCAGGAAACUGGGGCUAAUACCGGAUAGGAGCUCCUGCUGCAUGGUGGGGGUUGGAAAGUUUCGGCGGUUGGGGAUGGACUCGCGGCUUAUCAGCUUGUUGGUGGGGUAGUGGCUUACCAAGGCUUUGACGGGUAGCCGGCCUGAGAGGGUGACCGGCCACAUUGGGACGGAGAUACGGCCCAGACUCCUACGGGAGGCAGCAGUGGGGAAUAUUGCACAAUGGGCGGAAGCCUGAUGCAGCAACGCCGCGGGCGGGAUGACGGCCUUCGGGUUGUAAACCGCUUUCGCCUGUGACGAAGCGUGAGUGACGGUAAUGGGUAAAGAAGCACCGGCUAACUACGUG